rnacentral:RNase_P_RNA from 2 species
AGAGGUGGCAAGCUUAUGUAUACGGGCAAACAUACUAAAAGACUCUGUUCUUUAAUCUUACCCGUGGGAAGGUCUGAGGAAAACCGCUAAAUGUCUUUGCUGGAUAACCUGUGAAAAUGGGGGCAGUGCUACCAGAAAAUAUAUCAUCUUGGACCGUUAGUACCGUUGAAGGAGCUUGCAAGAGUUUCUGAUGGGUUGGUUCGAGUUUGUUUACUGUAAUGGCCUGUGGGUGGUAAUGCUAUGAAGUGCAAUACAUGAGACCGGUUAUACUGGUAACUCAAUUCAGACUACUCUGUCUCCUCU